AGUGCAGUUGCUGGGUCAUUGGGUAGUUCUAUUUUUAAUUUUUUGAGGAACCUCCAGACUAUUUUCCAGAGUGGCUGCACCAGUUUGCAUUCCCACCAGCAGU
rnacentral:pre_miRNA from 1 species